ensembl:snRNA
UUAAUGUAUGGGAGAAGUUUAGAACUCUCCUUAAAAAGGGUGCAAGAGAUCCCGGUGGCUUUUGUAAAACAUAUCCAGUUAAUGCAUUGCCACCAACACUGUGACAUCUAACCAUAUAUUUAA